rnacentral:rRNA from 1 species
GACGAACGCUGGCGGCGUGCCUAAUACAUGCAAGUAGAACGCUGAAGGAGGAGCUUGCUUCUCUGGAUGAGUUGCGAACGGGUGAGUAACGCGUAGGUAACCUGCCUGGUAGCGGGGGAUAACUAUUGGAAACGAUAGCUAAUACCGCAUAAUAGUAGAUGUUGCAUGACAUUUGCUUAAAAGGUGCAAUUGCAUCACUACCAGAUGGACCUGCGUUGUAUUAGCUAGUUGGUGGGGUAACGGCUCACCAAGGCGACGAUACAUAGCCGACCUGAGAGGGUGAUCGGCCACACUGGAACUGAGACACGGCCCAGACUCCUACGGGAGGCAGCAGUAGGGAAUCUUCGGCAAUGGACGGAAGUCUGACCGAGCAACGCCGCGUGAGUGAAGAAGGUUUUCGGAUCGUAAAGCUCUGUUGUAAGAGAAGAACGAGUGUGAGAGUGGAAAGUUCACACUGUGACGGUAUCUUACCAGAAAGGGACGGCUAACUACGUG